CACGUAGGGGCCAAGCGUUGUCCGGAUUUAUUGGGCGUAAAGAGCUCGUAGGCGGUUCAGUCAGUCGGGUGUGAAAUCUCCGGGCUCAACUCGGAGGGGCCACCCGAUACUGCUGUGACUCGAGUCCGGUAGGGGAGUGGGGAAUUCCUGGUGUGAGCGGUGGAAAUGCGCAGAUAUCAGGAGGAACACCGGUGGCGAAGGCGCCACUCUGGGCCGGUACUGACGCUGAGGAGCGAAAGCGUGGGUAGCAAACAGG
rnacentral:rRNA from 1 species